rnacentral:rRNA from 1 species
GUCCACGCCCUAAACGAUGGAUACUCGACAUACGCGAUACACAGUGUGUGUCUGAGCGAAAGCAUUAAGUAUCCCACCUGGGAAGUACGACCGCAAGGUUGAAACUCAAAGGAAUUGGCGGGGGUCCGCACAAGCGGUGGAGCAUGUGGUUUAAUUAGAUGAUACGCGAGGAACCUUACCUGGGCUAGAAUGCUAGUUGACCGAGGGUGAAAGCUCUCUUUGUAGCAAUACACAACUAGUAAGGUGCUGCAUGGCUGUCGU